rnacentral:piRNA from 1 species
UGGUGACCUCCCGGGAGCGGGGA